rnacentral:rRNA from 1 species
GACGAACGCUGGCGGCGUGCCUAACACAUGCAAGUCGAACGGAAACGCCGUGCUUUUUUGGGGUGCUCGAGGUGCGAACGGGUGAGUAACACGUGAGUAACCUACACUUGACUGUGGGAUAACUUCAGGAAACUGGGGCUAAUACCGGAUAGGAGCUCCUGCUGCAUGGUGGGGGUUGGAUAGUUUCGGCGGUUGGGGAUGGACUCGCGGCUUAUCAGCUUGUUGGUGGGGUAGUGGCUUACCAAGCCUUUGACGGGUAGCAGACCUGCGCGGGUGAGCGGCCCCACUGCGACUGGGAUGCGACCCAGACCACAAUCGGAGGGAAGGGAGGAGUGUAGUAUACAAGGCGAGGAACCAAAGCGUGGCACAGCAAUGCGCGGUAUGUGGUGAAGCGGGUAGUAUUCCGCUUCUGUCUUACACGAAGUGUUAAUGACGGUACCGGGUAAAGAAGCACCGGCUAACUACGUG